AGAGUGAGAGAAGAGCUAUUCAUCACAAGACAAUAAUAAAAUCUUCCCAACAAUUGCAGACAGACAGCUGAAGCCCUGAUAUAAGUUUGGAAGAGCA